rnacentral:rRNA from 1 species
GCUGUUAAGGGUUCGUAGUUGAACUGAGGGCUGUCAAGGAGACGGAUCCGUCCCAUCCUCCGGUCGGGACCUCCGCUCUUGCUGCCCGUGAACGUCAGAAACAAACAUCGCGGGAUCGUUCCCUCCACCCACGCAUGCAACGUAUGCAGGGGGGCGCCCGUGUGUAUUACUGUGACUAAAAAGCGCGACUAAAGCAGUCGAUCGACCUGAAUUUGAAAGCAUGGGAUAACGAAAGCGCCUACGGGUUACCGUUUUGGCUUUUGUUGGUUUUAAAGAUCUGUGGGAGAUUAUGGAUGUCGCUGACCGGCGGUUUCGGGGUUGCAUCCCCACGCCUCCGCUUCGGCGGCUUGCGCGUCCUUGAUGAAGGAGGGUUGUUCGGGGGAGAACGUACUUGAGUGUGAGAGGUGAAAUUCUUGACCACUCAAAGACGAACUACAGCGAAGGCAUUCUCCAAGGAUACCUUCCUCAAUCAGAACCAAAGUGUGGAGAUCGAAGAUGAUUAGAGACCAUUGUAGUCC